rnacentral:rRNA from 1 species
UACGAGGGGGGCAAAUGUUGUUCGGAAUCACUGGGCGUAAAGGGAGCGUAGGCGGGUUUUUAAGUCAGGUGUUUAAUCCCGGGGCCCAACCCCGGACCGGCACUUGAAACUGGGAAUCUUGAAUAGUGGAGAGGUCAGUGGAAUUGGGGGUGUAGCGGUGGAAUGCGUAGAGAUCCCCAAGAACACCAGUUGCGAAGGCGGCUGACUGGACACAUAUUGACGCUGAGGCUCGAAAGCAUGGGGAGCAAACAGGG